rnacentral:tRNA from 1 species
GCGCUCGUAGUUCAGUUGGAUAGAACACUGGGUUGCGGACCCAGAGGUCGAGAGUUCGAGUCUCUCCGAGCGCG